rnacentral:pre_miRNA from 1 species
AGAAAGAUUGCUAGGUCAUUUGUUAAGUAUAUGUUUUACUUUGUAAGCAACUGCCAAAAUAUUUUUCAAAGUGACCUUAACACAUUGCAAUCCCACCAGCAAU